CUGUAUCCUUGACAGCCUGGGACCCACAUCUGUGGUCUACCCCAGGUCUCUAUAGAGGUGAUGCCAAAUCAAUGUCCCUGCGCUUUCUGCCCGCUCUGUGGCGGCUCGGAUUGAAUCGGGGAAGAUAUGA